GUAAAAUACACAGAUAACGGAAAGCUUUAAUUCCAGUGAAGUUCUGGCAGCAUUGACAUCAUGCAUCAUAACUUGAGAAUGAGGUAAGAGAAUGACAAUUGAAGCUUGAACCCACUGCUUUUGAAACACAGAUUUGAGAAGAUGGCCUGGUCUCUGGCACAUGAAACUAGGCUUGUUUGCAAAGACCCUGGCCCACGUCAACAUCGUCAACAUCAGGAGCCUUGUCCAUAAGGUGGGGGCUGGUGGUUCUGUCCCAGCAGAUGGGCCUGCCCCCUCCACCACUGCUGCCCCAACUGAGGAGAAGAAAGUGGAAGCAAAGAAAGAAGAAUCAGAGGAGUCUGAUGAUGUGGGCUUUAGUCUUUUGACUAAAUCUCUUCUUUAACCUGUUCAAUAAAAAGCUGAACUCUUAUAAAUAAAUAAAUAAA
rnacentral:lncRNA from 1 species